GACGUAGGAUGCAAGCGUUGUCCGGAUUUAUUGGGCGUAAAGAGUUCGUAGGCGGUUACUUAAGUCUGGUGUUAAAUACUGGAGCUCAACUCCAGCAUGGCAUUGGAAACUGGGUGGCUAGAGUGUGGAAGAGGAUGCUGGAAUUCCCGGUGUAGCGGUGAAAUGCGUAGAUAUCAGGAGGAACACCGGUGGCGAAGGCGGGAUCCUGGGCCAGUACUGACGCUGAGGAGCGAAAGCGUGGGGAGCAAACAGG
rnacentral:rRNA from 1 species